AUUUGUGUCCUGUCAACAGUUUGAUAAUGGAGCUCUACGGAGAAGCACAUACGACGCAACAUCGUCAGAAGAUUAACAUCAGAAUAACAUUUUUGGAAAUAUCCUUAUCAGCUUUCUUUCCGAGAGUGAGAUUAGAAAUGUGACUAGACAUGUGCCUUCUUCUAAAACCUUUGGUGUGGCUGGACUCACCCGGCGUCGAGGCUCUGGGCGCUGAGGGAGGCCGAUCCGGACUCUGUGCCGCUCUCUGCAUCGCUGUCACUCUGAUACUCCACCGGAGACGUUGAACCUGGCUUAAUACGAACUGCAGAGAGGACAGGGUGGGGGAAUGACAUUAGGAGGAUGAACAGGAAGAGGGAAACAGUGGCACCAACACAAAGGGAAGAAUAUUGAAAAGCAAACAGAUGGAAGUGUUGUACAGCACUCCUGGGCAAUAAAAUGCAGCAACACAACUGAAUUUCAACAUGGGCUACUACCAGAACAGGCUCACAGCUGAACCUUCAGAAUCCACCCGGCCCUACUCACAAGAUUUGAUGAUUACAAGAUUAUAUUGGUUUAAAGGCCACCAGAAUGGUCCCUCUGAGGAAACAUAUGCAUGAGAUCGGAUGUUCUUGACCCAUAGAUUUCUUUGGUAUAAAGUAAACAGACUAGUCAGGUUGAUAAAUAUGAUACUUAUUUAUAUUAUUUCUUAUAUUCUAGUAUUUUCAUAGUUUUGCCCAUUGUUCCUUUCAUUGCAGUUCACCAAGAUAAUUUGUUAGAUCUGGAAACAUUACUAAAAAGUCAGACAGGGCAGGAAACAAACCCCUGAGUUAGCAAAACGUAACUGGAAGAGAAACAAAGACAAACAGUAAAAUUGGACUGUUCUAAACAUCCAUCGCAGUUUACAGACCAACUUCCCUUGCUAUCAACAUUUUGUGUUUUUUUGGUUUAGAUCAUUUGCAUAAACUACUUGUUUACAAUCUCUCAGAUCGCCUGACUAACUGCUUGUGUUUCUUGCCCCGAUGGUCUUGGCUAUAGUGAUGUUGUCAUAUCAAUAGAAAAUGCAUUGACACAGAAGGACACCGUGGCAUCACUGUUUGGUGAGGUUACAGGUGUAACACUGUGAAACGAGCUGCUUUUCAGUAUAGUAUUAAGUCACUGUUCAAUACCAAUAGAUUACUGCUACCACUUGCUGACAUUUACAAACCAUGAAAAAGUUGCCACAGCUUUAAAAGGCCACAGAAAUGGUUUUAAUAUACUGCCAUAUAAUUCCUUGUGAUAAAUGACCAUGAGGGAUCAGACUUGUAAACCAAUCAGGUGUCAGUUAUGGAGUGAAAGGCAGUUUGAUUAGUUUGGACAGGCUGAAAGAUAGGUGCCUGCGGUCACUGAACUAGCACUGCUUUCCAAAAGGUUCAAGUUCGGCAUUUCACAGGAUCUUUAAAGUACCACUUCAUAGAAGAAAAAAUGCUAAAAGGACUUUAAGCUUUUUUCACUUCAAAGUAUUGUGAGCUACUGCAUCUAUUAGAAAUCAUCAGGAAAAGGGGAAGUGAAGAGGAGAGCAUAGACUUUGCAUAGACACAACAUACUGUCAAUUUGAAUUUAUCAAAAUAUUAAAAAUGGCCCUGAAAAGUAUAUAUAGUACUCUUAUAACUGAAUACAUUCACUUUGGAGAAUGAUGAGGUAUGAGAGCAUCUUCAUGCUAGUUUGUGUGCUGGAGAAUCUUCUAGAUGUUUCCGAGAGUCACUGCCUCCAUCGUUUACAUUCCUGAGUCGAGGCAACGCUGGUUUAGAUUAGGAACCACGGUGAACUAAACUGACUUUACAGAGGGACUUUACUGCAGUUUGUCAAAGGGGUGGAGGCCUGUUUUGCCAGCUUGACUGAGUAAAUGUCUAGCUUCCUCUCAUGUUUACUCAGCGAUGGAUUACACCUCCUUCAACCUUUCCGUUCACCAUUGCCUAACGGGAAUUGAGUGGAUUGCAUUUAAAGUGGUCCAGAUUAACUGCUGACAUGAUGACAGGACAAACUCUGACUUUAGAGAGUGGUUUUAUAUAAACCACUUCUUUUUCACUGGUUCUUCAGUAUUGAUUACCUUUUCACGCACUGAUUAAUCUUAGUGUCAGAGAAGGUCAGGGCACUUGAGCAGCAGAACUUAUUUUGAGUAGACGCUCAGGUACAAGUAAAAAAAAAAAACAAAACACGGAUUAUUAGUUACUCAGCAACCAGAAAAAACACUGUAAGCUCCCAUAAUGAGAUAUCUAGAGACUUUCCCCUACAAAAUAUUAGAGGGUGAAAUCAGCUGUUGAAACAUUGACAGAUGCAUUUCAGUCAGUGACAUUUUUCAACAUAUGUAACUUUUCUUUCUCCAGAAGUUUUCUCAUUUAAGUGGGAAUAUCAAUCAUCUGGCACAUAUGGAAAGCUUCCAAAAUGACAAAGAUAGACAGACGGCAAGUCUAACAUACCACUAACCACAAACACACACCAUAUCCCUCGAGAGACACACUGUACUCUUCUGAGACAGAGAGCUCCCCAUAAAUGAUAGUGUGGGCAAGAGUGACAGAACCAUGGAAGAAUAAUGACGGGUGUGACAGUCAAAGAUGGAAAGGAUAAAAGGGAAGAGGUCUAGAAAUCUUCACAACAAUCUCAAAUUGCCUUCCUUUUCCUAACUGCUAUAGCUUUGCAAAAUUUUCAAACAACGACUCUGUGUGCUAUGCACCGUCCCAACAUCCUGUUUCAACAUGAUACGAAUGACAUUAACAAAGAAGGAAGAUGGUCUAUGCUGUUUUAUUGUGACACCUUCAUUCACAGUGUUUGACGUUACGAUUUUCACUGGUCAUAUUAGCCUAAAAGGUAAACUGAGGCCACAAUGCCAAACAGCAUCCAGUCCGUGCUGUGGUGGUGCUAAAGGCAAUUUAGUAAAGGGACUAAAAGCAGUAUUCAAUUAAUAGUCUUUGUAGUAGUAGAAGCAUUAAUAGUAACAGUAAAAGCCAAUCAUUUGAUUUAAAUAACUGGAACUGUUGGUCAGAGAAAGACGUGCCAUUACUUGAAAAAAGAGUCAAGGUUAAGUAGCCUAUUGAAAAUUGCUAUAGAUGAAUAUAGAAAGGAUGGAAGCUGUUUUGAGGCAUCAUAUAUUGUCAGCAUGGUUUGGACUUAAAUGUAGCGGUAUGUAAUGUUUAGCGGGUUAGCUUGUUAGCAUGCUCAUAUACAAACAAGCCCGCCUGGCUCCAGACCUCUGAAUUGCUGCCAACAUCUCAGUAAUUUUCAGUGAUUCAAAUAGGUCUGGUUUUGCAUUCAUUGGUGGCUGUUUCCACAGCCCCUGCACUACAGGUACAUGUAGACAGAAUGUAAUUGUGUGAACAAUAAAGUGAAAACAAACUGU